UACAGAGGUCUCAAGCGUUGUUCGGAUUCAUUGGGCGUAAAGGGUGCGUAGGUGGCGGGGUAAGUCAGGUGUGAAAUCUCGGAGCUCAACUCCGAAACUGCACUUGAUACUGCCGUGCUUGAGGACUGGAGAGGAGACUGGAAUUUACGGUGUAGCGGUGAAAUGCGUAGAUAUCGUAAGGAAGACCAGUGGCGAAGGCGGGUCUCUGGACAGUUCCUGACGCUGAGGCACGAAGGUCAGGGGAGCAAACGGG
rnacentral:rRNA from 1 species